rnacentral:rRNA from 1 species
UACAGAGGUCCCGAGCGUUGUUCGGAUUUAUUGGGCGUAAAGGGUGUGUAGGUGGCGCCGUAAGUCGGGUGUGAAAUUUCGGAGCUUAACUCCGAAACUGCAUUCGAUACUGCCGUGCUUGAGGACUGGAGAGGAGACUGGAAUUUACGGUGUAGCGGUGAAAUGCGUAGAUAUCGUAAGGAAGACCAGUGGCGAAGGCGGGUCUCUGGACAGUUCCUGACGCUGAGGCACGAAGGUCAGGGGAGCAAAGCGGG